UUUGCUGACGAGCGGCGGACGGGUGAGUAAUGCCUGGGAAUAUGCCUUGAUGUGGGGGAUAACCAUUGGAAACGAUGGCUAAUACCGCAUAAUGCCUACGGGCCAAAGAGGGGGAUCUUCGGACCUCUCGCGUCAAGAUUAGCCCAGGUGGGAUUAGCUAGUUGGUGAGGUAAUGGCUCACCAAGGCGACGAUCCCUAGCUGGUCUGAGAGGAUGAUCAGCCACACUGGAACUGAGACACGGUCCAGACUCCUACGGGAGGCAGCAGUGGGGAAUAUUGCACAAUGGGCGCAAGCCUGAUGCAGCCAUGCCGCGUGUGUGAAGAAGGCCUUCGGGUUGUAAAGCACUUUCAGUCGUGAGGAAGGUAGUUGCGUUAAUAGCGUAAUUAUUUGACGUUAGCGACAGAAGAAGCACCGGCUAACUCCGUGCCAGCAGCCGCGGUAAUACGGAGGGUGCGAGCGUUAAUCGGAAUUACUGGGCGUAAAGCGCAUGCAGGUGGUUCAUUAAGUCAGAUGUGAAAGCCCGGGGCUCAACCUCGGAACCGCAUUUGAAACUGGUGAACUAGAGUGCUGUAGAGGGGGGUAGAAUUUCAGGUGUAGCGGUGAAAUGCGUAGAGAUCUGAAGGAAUACCGGUGGCGAAGGCGGCCCCCUGGACAGAUACUGACACUCAGAUGCGAAAGCGUGGGGAGCAAACAGGAUUAGAUACCCUGGUAGUCCACGCCGUAAACGAUGUCUACUUGGAGGUUGUGGCCUUGAGCCGUGGCUUUCGGAGCUAACGCGUUAAGUAGACCGCCUGGGGAGUACGGUCGCAAGAUUAAAACUCAAAUGAAUUGACGGGGGCCCGCACAAGCGGUGGAGCAUGUGGUUUAAUUCGAUGCAACGCGAAGAACCUUACCUACUCUUGACAUCCAGAGAAGCCAGCGGAGACGCA
rnacentral:rRNA from 1 species